CCUACGGGAGGCAGCAGUGAGGAAUAUUGGUCAAUGGGCGGGAGCCUGAACCAGCCAAGUCGCGUGAGGGAAGAAGGUACUGAGUAUUGUAAACCUCUUUUGCCAGGGGACAAAGGCGGCCACGGGUGGUCGUAAGAGGGUACCUGGAGAAAAAGCAUCGGCUAACUCCGUGCCAGCAGCCGCGGUAAUACGGAGGAUGCGAGCGUUAUCCGGAUUUAUUGGGUUUAAAGGGUGCGCAGGCGGCGUGUCAAGUCAGCGGUAAAAUGUCGGGGCUCAACCCCGGCCGGCCGUUGAAACUGGCGUGCUUGAGUUGGAGAGAAGUAUGCGGAAUUCGUGGUGUAGCGGUGAAAUGCAUAGAUAUCACGAAGAACCCCGAUUGCGAAGGCAGCAUACCGGCUCCACACUGACGCUGAGGCACGAAAGCGUGGGUAUCGAACAGGAUUAGAUACCCUGGUAGUC
rnacentral:rRNA from 1 species